AAGAAAGGUUUUGGGUUGUAAAACUUUUUUGUUAAAGAAGAACGUAGGUGAGAGUAACAAUUCUCCCAGUGGCGGUAUUUAACCCCAAAACCACGGGUAAAUUCGUGCCCGCACCCCCGGUAAAAAAUGGGGGUCCAGAGUUUUCUCGGUUUUUUUGGGGUAAAAAGAGAGCAGGGGGUUUUUUUAAUUUAAGGUGAAAACCCCCGGGUCUCACCCAGAAUUUCCAUUGGAAAUUGGAAACUUGGAGUCCGAAGGAGGCAGGUGAAAUUCCAGGGGUAGGGUUAAAAUGGGUAGAAUUUGGAAGAACCCCCGGGGGGAAGGCGGCUGUCUGGUCCGUAACUGACCCUGAGGCUCGAAAGCAUGGGUAGCGAACAGGAUUAGAUACCCUGGUAGUCCAUCCCGUAAACGAUGGUUUAUUAGUGUUGGGGGGCU
rnacentral:rRNA from 1 species